GUGCUUGUUUUGGCAGUACGUGUACUAAAAUUGGAGUGAUAGAGAAGAUUAGUAUGGCCCCUGUGCAAAAAAUGACAUGCAAAUUUGUGAGAUGUUCCAUGAUUAA
ensembl:snRNA U6 U6 spliceosomal RNA